CGUGAAGUUGGAAUCGCUAGUAAUCGCGGAUCAGCAUGCCGCGGUGAAUACGUUCCCGGGCCUUGUACACACCGCCCGUCACACCAUGAGAGUCGGGAACACCCGAAGUCCGUAGCCUAACAGCAAUGAGGGCGCGGCCGAAGGUGGGUUCGAUAAUUGGGGUGAAGUCGUAACAAGGUAAC
rnacentral:rRNA from 1 species